rnacentral:misc_RNA from 1 species
UGCCUUACAUGCAGUCCAACACGUGAAUCAGUUUGAACACAUAGGGGUGGGUUGAGGUGUUAACCACCUCCGCCUACCUCGGGUUCAGAGGUGGACGACUCGUGCGUUCCUCCUCUGUGCCAAAAAACCAAACCCCGGCGCUGAAUGCGUCAAGGAAUUAAAAUUUUGCUCUGAGCGCACUUGCAUGGCAUCGGAGACGGUGUUCGUGCGGGUUACGUUUUGACACAUUAUAU